GAGGGUAUAGCUCAACUGGUAGAGUGCGUGCUUAGCAUGCACAAGGUCCUGGGUUCAAUCCCCAGUACCUCCU
rnacentral:tRNA from 1 species